GAUACUUGUGUGGGUGAUUAGCGUCGUCUACUAGUAACGAAGGAUUGCUGACAAAUCGAAUUGUGGAUAGAAGGUGCGUACACAAAAGGCAAUAAUAA